rnacentral:rRNA from 1 species
GGCUUUUUGAUGAUAAUUUAAGGUCUGACCUGCCCAAUGAUUGGAUAUUAAAUGGCCGCGGUAUUUUGACCGUGCAAAGGUAGCAUAAUCAUUAGUUUUUUAAUUGGAAGCUUGUAUGAAUGGUUUAAUGAAAAAAUAACUGUCUCUGUUUAAAUUUUUUAGAAAUUUAUUUUUAAGUUAAAAAGCUUAAAUGGAUACCAAAGACGAGAAGACCCUAUAGAGUUUUAUAAUUUUAUGUGAUUGUUAUAUUUUAGAAUUUUUUAAUAAUUUUUUAAAAUUAUUUGGUUGGGGUGAUUGGAAAAUUGAUUAAACUUUUUUAUGUAAAAUUUCAUUGAUUUGUGAAUUUUUGAUCUUUAUUAAAGAUUAUUAGAUAAAAUUACCUUAGGGAUAACAGCGUAAUUUUUUUUAGAGUUCUUAUCAAAUAAAAAGGUUGCGACCUCGAUGUUGGAUUAAAAUUAAUUAUUGGUGUAGGUGCUAAUAAGUUGGGUCUGUUCGACCUUUAGAUUUUUACAUGAUCUGAGUUUAAACCGGUGUGAG